rnacentral:rRNA from 1 species
UCGAGGGGCAGCGGGGGAGUAGCAAUACUCCCGCCGGCGACCGGCGCUCGGGUGAGUAACACGUAUGAAACCUGCCCGUAGCAGGGGGAUAAGCGGAAGAAAUUCCGUCUAAUACCGCGUAACAACCCAUGGAGGCAUCUCUGUGGGUUUAAAGGAAGCGAUUCCGGCUACGGAUGGUCAUGCGUCGCAUUAGCUUGUUGGCGGGGUAACGGCCCACCAAGGCGACGAUGCGUAGGGGUUCUGAGAGGAAGGUCCCCCACACUGGUACUGAGACACGGACCAGACUCCUACGGGAGGCAGCAGUGAGGAAUAUUGGUCAAUGGCCGCAGGGCUGAACCAGCCAAGUCGCGUGAGGGAUGACGGUCCUAUGGAUUGUAAACCUCUUUUGUCAGGGAGCAAAGGGCGCCACGUGUGGCGCUUUGCGAGUACCUGAAGAAAAAGCAUCGGCUAACUCCGUGCCAGCAGCCGCGGUAAUACGGAGGAUGCGAGCGUUAUCCGGAUUUAUUGGGUUUAAAGGGUGCGCAGGCGGAAUGUCAAGUCAGCGGUAAAAUUUCGGGGCUCAACCCCGUCGUGCCGUUGAAACUGGCGUUCUUGAGUGAGCGAGAAGUAUGCGGAAUGCGUGGUGUAGCGGUGAAAUGCAUAGAUAUCACGCAGAACUCCGAUUGCGAAGGCAGCAUACCGGCGCUCAACUGACGCUCAUGCACGAAAGCGUGGGUAUCGAACAGGAUUAGAUACCCUGGUAGUCCACGCAGUAAACGAUGAAUACUAACUGUCCGGGCAGAAUGAUGCCUGGGUGGUAC